GCCAGCCUUAAACUUCCAUUUAUUUUCUCCUUAAUUUUCUACCAUCAAUUAAAAUCUUCUCCAUUAAAAGAAGUUUCCAAAAGGGAAGAUCCUAUAUGGCCUAAUUAGUCAAAUUUUUUUUAAUUUUUAUUAAUUUUUCAAUUAAAAUAAGAUUCAAUUUUUAUAAUUAAUUUAGAAAAUCUAUUUUCUUGUAUUGCCAAU
rnacentral:lncRNA from 1 species